GUGUCAGCCGCCGCGGUAAUACGGAGGGUGCAAGCGUUAUUCGGAUUUAUUGGGCGUAAAGGGCGUGUAGGUGGUCUGAUAAGUCAGGUGUGAAAGCCCCUGGCUCAACCAGGGAAGUGCAUUUGAAACUAUCAGACUUGAGUACGGGAGGGGGAAGUGGAAUUCCUGGUGUAGAGGUGAAAUUCGUAGAUAUCAGGAGGAAUACCGGUGGCGAAGGCGACUUCCUGGACCGAUACUGACACUGAGACGCGAAAGCGUGGGGAGCAAACAGGAUUAGAUACCCCAGUAGUCC
rnacentral:rRNA from 1 species